rnacentral:rRNA from 1 species
UACAGGGGGGGCAAGCGUUGUUCGGAAUUACUGGGCGUAAAGGGUCUGUAGGUGGCCAACUAAGUCAGACGUGAAAUCCCUCAGCUUAACUGGGGAACUGCGUCUGAUACUGGAUGGCUUGAGAUUGGGAGAGGGAUGCGGAAUUCCAGGUGUAGCGGUGAAAUGCGUAGAUAUCUGGAGGAACACCGGUGGCGAAGGCGGCAUCCUGGACCAACACUGACGCUGAUGAGCGAAAGCCAGGGGAGCAAACGGG